GCCACCAACAUUUCCACGGACAGUACUACAGCUACCCACCGAAUUUCCCGCAUCCAAAUUACAGCAUUUCGUCGUUCCUCCACCCCGCAUUAUGCUCCCGUGUCCGUAAUUUCCUGUCCCCGAUCCUAAAACGUCCGUCUUUGAACUCCGAUUGCUCAUUGCCAUACCUGUUUUCAAGAUUCUUCCCGACGGGCAGAUGUUCCCGGUGGGAAGUACAUUAACAGGUGCUGGAGAGUUCACCGAGCUCUGAUUGCCGCCACCCGAGUAAAUUAACGAGUCGGAUCUGGAGGUAACAGAUGUGGAAUUUCUGCGAGGCGUUGAAGGACUGGUUUCGCUGGAGUUGUAAAGCUCACCGGAAUGACCAGAUUUAAGAACUGGGUUGUGCCCAUUUCGGCUGCCGGAUACCGAUCCAGAGGAGCUAGAACUGGAGCUGGU
rnacentral:misc_RNA from 1 species